UGGGGAAUUUUGGACAAUGGGCGAAAGCCUGAUCCAGCAAUGCCGCGUGUGUGAAGAAGGCCUUCGGGUUGUAAAGCACUUUUGUCCGGAAAGAAAUCCUUGGCUCUAAUACAGUCGGGGGAUGACGGUACCGGAAGAAUAAGCACCGGCUAACUACGUGCCAGCAGCCGCGGUAAUACGUAGGGUGCAAGCGUUACUCGGAAUUACUGGGCGUAAAGCGUGCGCAGGCGGUUUGCUAAGACCGAUGUGAAAUCCCCGGGCUCAACCUGGGAACUGCAUUGGUGACUGGCAGGCUAGAGUAUGGCAGAGGGGGGUAGAAUUCCACGUGUAGCAGUGAAAUGCGUAGAGAUGUGGAGGAAUACCGAUGGCGAAGGCANCCCCCUGGGCCAAUAUGACGCUCAUGCACGAAAAGCGUGGGGGAGCAAAACNGGAUUAGAUACCCUGGUAGUCCACGCCCUAAAACGAUGUCAACUAGUUGUUGGGGAUUCAUUUCCUUAGUAACGUAGCUAACGCGUGAAGUUGACCGCCUGGGGAGUACGGUCGCAAGAUUAAAACUCAAAUGAAUUGACGGGGUCAU
rnacentral:rRNA from 1 species